GGGAAAGUGGCUCAGUGGUAGAGUGCUUGCCUUGCAUGCAUGAGACCCUGGGUUCAAUCUCCUCAGCACCA
rnacentral:tRNA from 1 species